rnacentral:rRNA from 1 species
ACGGCUCAGUAACACGUAGCUAACCUAACCUCAAGGCGGAAAUAACCCCGGGAAACUGGGGUCAAUGUCCGAUAGAUGUGAAUUCCUGGAAUGGUAUCACAUCCAAACGUCAGUGCACCAUGUUGUACGAACGCUUGAGGAUGGGGCUGCGGCCGAUCAGGCUGUUGGUGGGGUAAUGGCCCACCAAACCUUUGACCGGUAUGGGCCAUGAGAGUGGUAGCCCAGAGAUGGACACUGAGACAAGGGUCCAGGCCCUACGGGGCGCAGCCGGUACGAAACCUCCACAAUGCACGCAAGUGCGAUGGGGUCAUCUCGAGUGCUACCUGAAGAAGGUAGCUUUUCCAUGGUCUAAAUAGCCGUGGGAAUAAGGGGGGGGCAAGACUGGUGUCAAGCCGCCGCGGUAACACCAGCCCCCCGAGUGGUGGGGAUGUUUAUUUGGCCUAAAGCGUCCGAGCCGGCUAAGUAAACUUCUCGUUAAAUCCAACGUCCCAAGCGUUGGGCUGCGAGAAAGACUGCUAAGCUAGAGGGUGGGAGAGGUCAGCGGUAUUCCUGGGGUAGGGGCGAAAUCCUUUGAACCCAGGAGGACCACCAGUGGCGAAGGCUGCUGACUAGAACACGCCUGACGGUGAGGGACGAAAGCUGGGGUAGCGAAUCGGAUUAGAUACCCGAGUAGUCCCAGCUGUAAACGAUGCAGACUAGGUGUUGGGUUGGCCACGCGCCGACUCAGUGCCACAGGGAAGCCAUUAAGUCUGCCGCCUGGGAAGUACGGCCGCAAGGCUGAAACUUAAAGGAAUUGGCGGGGGAGCAC